rnacentral:rRNA from 1 species
AAUAGAUACCGGGUAGUCCACGCCGUAAACGAUGAAUACUAGGUGUAGGGGUUGUCAUGACCUCUGUGCCGCCGCAAACGCAUUAAGUAUUCCGCCUGGGGAGUACGGUCGCAAGAUUAAAACUCAAAGGAAUUGACGGGGGCCCGCACAAGCAGCGGAGCAUGUGGUUUAAUUCGAAGCAACGCGAAGAACCUUACCUAGACUUGACAUCUCCUGAAUUACUCUUAAUCGAGGAAGUCCCUUCGGGGACAGGAAGACAGGUGGUGCAUGGUUGUCGUCAGCUCGUGUCGUGAGAUGUUGGGUUAAGUCCCGCAACGAGCGCAACCCUUAUUGUUAGUUGCUACCAUUAAGUUGAGCACUCUAGCAAGACUGCCCGGGUUAACCGGGAGGAAGGUGGGGAUGACGUCAAAUCAUCAUGCCCCUUAUGUCUAGGGCUACACACGUGCUACAAUGGCAAGUGCAAAAGAUGCAGUACCGCAAGGUGGAGCUAAACUUAAAAACUUGUCUCAGUUCGGAUUGUAGGCUGAAACUCGCCUACA